rnacentral:rRNA from 1 species
AUUGAACGCUGGCGGCAGGCCUAACACAUGCAAGUCGAGCGGAUGAAGGGAGCUUGCUCCUGGAUUCAGCGGCGGACGGGUGAGUAAUGCCUAGGAAUCUGCCUGGUAGUGGGGGAUAACGUCCGGAAACGGGCGCUAAUACCGCAUACGUCCUGAGGGAGAAAGUGGGGGAUCUUCGGACCUCACGCUACCAGAUGAGCCUAGGUCGGAUUAGCUAGGUGGUGGGGUAAAGGCCUACCAAGGCGACGAUCCGUAACUGGGCUGAGAGGAUGAUCAGUCGCACUGGGAGUGAGACGCGGUGCAGACGCCUACGGGAGGCAGCAGUGGGGAAUAUUGGACGAUGGGCGAAAGCCUGAGGCAGCCAGGGCGCGUGUGUGAAGAAGGUCUUCGGAUUGUAAAGCACUUUAAGUUGGGAGGAAGGGCAGUGAGUUGAUACCUUGCUGUUUUGACGUUACCAACAGAAUAAGCACCGGCUAGCUUCGUG